GCAGUGAAAAGUUUGGGGGUGCUUUGGAAGCAUCCUGCUGAGGAUCCCAAGGGAUCCUGCUAGGGAAGCCUCCAAAUACACACGCAGCUCUCAGGUGUCCCUGGACCCUGGGGAAAUCGUGGCCCAGGCCUGGGGCUCCCCAUCCCCACAGGGGCCUACGGCCCCCAGCAUUCCAGCCAGCCCUGCAGGCCCAAGUCUCCUGCUCCUGGGAGAGCAGACAAGCACCUCGCAAGACCACGUGCUCCAGCUCCGGGAGGGGGCUGGCCAGGCCCCAGGCCCAGCCCUGGCUGCCAGGCCCGAAAGGAUGCUUCGGCCUCUCCCCAGGGCCCCCAGGUCACGCAGGCGCCCCAACAGACCCAUCAGGCCUCGUGUCCUUCCCGCUGUUCCCUCCACUGGUUUGGAAGUGGUUCUCUUUGGUGUCAUCCUGGUGUAUGUGCAAACUCAUCAAAGUCUGAAGCUGACCACGUCUCCAUCACCUUCUCACCCAGCACAGGAGUUUAGGACACUUGCCUUGCUCACAGGGCCGCUCCUAACACCUGUGCCGUGGUGGGUGUGCAUGCCCUGGGAUUCCUGUGUGUGCGUGCGACAUCUGCAUACGGCCGGACUCGCCCACGUUAGUCUCCAUCUGUCCACACACUGCCUUCUUUGUGCCCCUCCUUCCAUUUGCGGUCACUUUCCUGCUGUGUGAGGUCUGUUCUCACUCAGAAUGGGGUGAGGGUCAGCUGGGGGCAAAUUCUUUCUCCCACUUGUCAUUUUAUUUACUUAUUUUGCCCUUUUCUUGAAAGGUAUUUUUGCUGGACAUGAACUCGCAGGGUGACAGUUUUCUCCUCACACCCCGUCAAGCUUUAAGGUCGUCCAGGUGUUUAUAGCUCCCUUCAUUUUCCUGACUCCUGCGCAGGCUGUCUCAUCGUCAUGGCAACGCACUGCUGCCCGAGUCUGCAAGGAACACUCCUGCUGGCCCACUCCAGGCCCACGAGACAGCCCCCUUUCUCAGGGUACAGAAAUGUCCAUCCCUUCUGACCUUAUGAAGAGUCAACAGGUUUUCAGUUCUGUUUUAUUUUUAAGGAACAAAACUGAAGUUUAUGAAUAUUAUUUUCAACAUCUACUAAGAUAAUCGUGUGGCCUUCCUCCUUUUGAUAAUGUAGAGCAUUUUAUUAAUUCCCAAAUUCCUUCUUCCUCAGAUACAAUUUUCUUGUAUUUAUAUACAACUUCAUUUAUUCAGUACUUUCACUGAGCACCUAUUGUGUGCUAGGCACCCUCCCAGGUCCUGGGAAAGCAGUGAAGCAGACAGAGCCCCUGCUCUCCUGGAGGCGGGCAGGGCACCCCGACACCGCCGUGCUGUUCAGUGUUCUUGCUGUGCUGCUGUUUGCACUCCUCAGGGUGCUCCUGCCAGUGACAUCGGGACAUCGGGUUCCUUCUUUUUCCCUUUUCCGUCCUCCUCUUCCCAGCGUGGGUGUCUAGGUGAGGCUGGCUCUGGGCAGUUUCAGCCUCACGGACGGGGAUGACUAAUUUCUCCAUUGCUUGGGGGUGCCCACCCAUAAAUUCUUCAUUUAGGGAAGAUCUGGGGCCACUUUAGAAUUUCCUUUGCUGUUAUUGAUCUGUUUUUUUUCUUUCUUUCUUUUUUGUACCAGCCCCCUGCACCUGUUGCAGGCGCUGGGCCAGGCGCCUCUUGGUGGCUUCUAUAGGACAAGGCCUUCCAGCCGUCUGUGACCUCAGUCACCGCGGGGCUGGCCACCUGCUUCCCAGCCUCACCCUCCGUUGCUCCGGCCUCUCCAGGCCUCUCCAAUGCCUUGCUUGCCAUGUUCAGGGUUCUAGGAGGGACAAGGUGUGUGUUAGUCACGGGCUCCCUGAAAUCCAGUCAUGGUCGACAUCUGAGGGCUCAGCGAGUCACUCUUGUUGGUAAUUGUGCUCCUCGAAUCAGUUAUGUCUUUUUUCUUACUUGUUUCAUCCCUGACCGUUUUCUUCUCGGAAAGCUGCAUUACACCCACUGAAACUGGGAAUUUGGUCAUUUCUCAGGAGACAGCUGUACAUCUAUGUCCUAGGCACUGUGAGGUGCCCCUAGUCCCCAGGCGCUCACGCAGCCCACGGCCGGCCGGUCCCUGCAGGCAGGCAAGGGAGGGCUGUGCCCACCUCAGGGCUCUGGGCUCCAGACCUGCCCGUAGAAGGGCUGUCCCACCGCAGCCUGACCGUAGGCACGCGUUCAGUUUACAAUUGGAAACAAUGCCCACAUGGAAAAAUGCAAAGGAAAGCAUCUAUAAACUCAAGAACGCACUGGUCUAAUGAACAAUGCCAUGCUUGCUUCCGACUUCCCCCAGGAACACAAUGUGACGCACAAGGUCUCAUUGCCCGGGGUUCCUUCGUCCGCCUGUGAGCCGAGUGCCAUAGGACGCCACGUCCCAGUCCCCGCGGCCUUCGACUCUGAGCUGGUCUAGCCAGGCAGGCGCACAGUGCCGCAGGCACGGAAUGGCCUUCCGUGGGCUCCUCACUGAGCACAGUCCUGGGACAUGUCUGCAUGGAUUCUCGAGGGGCUGACUCAUUUGUUGUCAUUGCUGUACCACUUUCACCCCGACAGAUGGGACAACUGGGCUGUUUUCUGCCCACAUGCAGGCUCUUCUGGGAUAGCCAGGCACACACCCACCAGCAGAAGCACUGGCUCUGUCCCCACACCUUUGUCAACAUUUAUACCCUCUGCCUUUCGUAUUUUUGUCAAACAAUUUCAUUUCUUUUCCAGACAUGACAUGCCUCUUACUUUCUUCGUGGCCAGCUGGGGCUCGCUCUCCGUGGAAGGCCCGUGCGUUCUGGGACCAUCUGUCUCUUUCUCAGGUGCAUGUGCCAU